GGCGACAAGAAGGCCGCCGCCUGCCCCUCCUCCCGCUAGCACAGGGUCGGGACCGGCGAGCUCUGCCCGAGCGGGGCAGCUUGGCCUGCGCUUCCCGAGGUGCGCCUGCCCAGGCGCGGCUCAAUCGCGGCGGCUGCGCGGGUCCCGACACCGAGCAUGCCCAGAGCCACCAGCGCGCGGUCGGCUCCCGCGUCCUCAGCGGCCGGCUGGAGCCAGAGGCCUGGGGCAGUCGGAGGAGCCCGGGCUCGGGCGUUGGGGGCGCAGGCCUCCCGCUGGUGAGGGCGGCUCCCGAGGGUGCCCUGUGCCCACCCUCCAACACUCGCGCCUCCUGCGCGCGCUCCUGGCCUCCUUGCGGCGCUAGCCACCCAGCCCGAGCCUCCUGGCGCCGCCUAGUCCACGCGGAAGUCCCCGAGUGACCUGGGGGAGGCCCUCCCUCCCCACGCACGCAGAUUCACGAGCCCGCGCGGAGCACGAGUGACGCGUGCUCGCCGGCCCGGCACCGGCGUCCCCUCCAUCCUCCUCCCGCUUCCUGUCACCGCGCCGCCCAGCUCCUGGCCUCGAAGCCACGUCCCCUCCUGAGCCCAGGCUGCGGUGAAACCUGUUGCUGUGGCUCACGUUUCUAUCCCCUCCCGCGGCCGCUGAAAUGGCUCAGCGAGGCGUGCCUGUGGGAAGCCAGGGGGCCACCCAGCUCAGCAAGAAUCAGCAGAGAGUUGAUCAUGUCCAGGAAGGCCCUAGAACUCCAAAGAUGAAAUCUCACAUUGGAUGAACUCUGCAUUAAGUUCCCUCAAAACAAAUCCUAUAAGAAGGAAGCCACAGUGAGUAUGGAUCUUCAAUAGGAAACCAUCCAGACUCAUCCUCAAAGGGUAGAGACAAGAUGACAUUCCUCAGGAUCAGUGCUGUUGAUAGGAUUUUAAAUGUGUAAGUCAGAGAGUUUGAAAAGGGAAGAAUAGAUCUAUUUGCAAAAUUCCCAAACCAAUUUUGAAAUCAUCAGCCUUGACUCUGAGCUUCCCUGUGCUGUGGCAUUUAGAGUAAUAAAGACAUGGCUGGCAGAGGGCUUGCGUCUCAUCUUUAUUGCAUGAACUACAUGCAGGUCAUGCCACAUGCAGAUGCUGUGUGAGAGUGACUGGAGUGAACUGUAUAUAGAAUGUCUGGAACCCAUCCCCCAUUUCUGACCCAGCCUAGGACCACAGCUUCCCAUGAAAGGGGCCUGACUACUUGGCCGUGGUGUUUGGCAGAUAGAAUCAAUGGGAUGCCCUAAUGGAUGAAGCUAGAAAAUACAGCAUAAAAAUGGCCCUGAAUCUUUUCAUCACCAUCCUUAUUGAAAGGCACAGUGUAUCCCUCUGCUCACUCAAACCAGGGUCUUCCUGUUAGCUACCUGCAACAUUUCUUCUUUAAUUCUGCAGAUACUGUGGCUUGAUCUUCGCUAUAUGUGUAGAUAUUUUCAAGAUGGAACCUAAGUAUAUAUAAUGUGGUUUUCUUCUUUCUUUCAUUUGGACAGAGCUGUACUUACAUAGAGAAAAUUCCCUUUAAAACACAUACACACCUUAAAGGUUUUGGUUCUGUAGCAAACUGUGAGAUUGUAUUUAUUUCCUACGUUUUCCUCAAUAAAACCAAAAUGGUACUUAA